rnacentral:rRNA from 1 species
UACGGGGGGGAGCAAGCGUUUGUUCGGAUUUACUGGGCGUAAAGGGCGCGUAGGCGGCGUGACAAGUCACUUGUGAAAUCUCCGGGCUUAACUCGGAACGGUCAAGUGAUACUGUCGUGCUAGAGUACAGAAGGGGGCAACUGGAAUUCUCGGUGUAGCGGUGAAAUGCGUAGAUAUCGAGAGGAACACCUGCGGCGAAGGCGGGUUGCUGGGCUGAUACUGACGCUGAGGCGCGAAAGCUAGGGGAGCGAACGGG